GACAUCGUGCCAGACCAAUGGGCUAUUUUGAUGUAAUAGAUAUAGAGUGUAUCCUCUCGGUGUCU
rnacentral:tRNA from 1 species